rnacentral:lncRNA from 1 species
AUGCGCGGCCAGGUAUGCGGCGUUCACACCUGUGCGCGACACAAUCGGGCUAAAUAUAGAGAGUCACUCGGUAUACUAGCGACGUUCUCGAUGUUCGCCGAUACAGACGCCUAUUAAUAGCGUGCGACAAUCGGACGCGCUCGCCAUCGAAUUAAAGAGGGAACCGCGUGUGUGGUCCGGGCAAUUAGCGGUCACUAGCGACAACUUUUCUGGACGAUGUUGUGUACCGAAUGUAUCGCAGAAUGCAAUAUCUGGGUCGUGUUACGUCGUAUUUCAGAAAGCGAAUUGCACGCUGCAGCCAACGAACCUUGCAAGCAAGUCGAACGAAAGCGAGUCAAAGCGGCCGCAGAAGCCGCCUGUUCCCGAACUAGCAGGAAAGUUAACCAAUGGUCGCCCCCGGGACGUAAACAAUAAACAAAAGUCCCGAUGAAUCAGCGCUAAGGCACGUUGAAUCGAGCCAGCUCUAAAGAUGCUCUAUUAUUAGCCGUGUGAGGCAAUUACGGGCACGCCGGUAACGAUUAACCAGCCGCUUUUAAAUCGGCCAGUUAUUCCUGCCGAUGUGUCAUGGUAAAGCGGCUGUUCCAGUGGAAUCGGCGACAUUGACGGCGUCAUAGCCGUCCGUGUGUCUAUUCGCUCGCCAACGCGGCCACGAGGAAAUAGGAUCGUGGAAAUAAGCUUCUAUGUUCGUCGAUGAUUUAUAAAUAAAAUAACGAGAUUGUUAAGCGGCGCCAACAGAGAAUAAAUAUGCGCGCGACGUACUGUUCUCCGGGCCCCAACGAACUUUUCCAGCGUAUUUUCCCGUUUCCCCGUUUCUUCGAACGAACGUGAAUGAAGGUAGACUCGGGACAAGCCUUUGUCGCCAGACGAUUCACACACGUUCGCCAAGAUGCGCGACCAGCAUGCGAAUAGCGGCACGUUCGCGAUUAGAACACCCGCUACAGCCUACGUUCCCGUUGGUAGGCUGGUGUAAACAGGAAGCUCGCUAUCGCCUUCACGCUGAAUCUUCCAUUGUCUCUGCGACAACGGGCAAAAUCGCUCGGCGAUUCUCCGUACCCGAAGACUGGCAGUUGGACAAAAGAUUUCUUCUUUCGGAACUAUAUAUUUCACCCGGCUUCGCGCGCUCCGCCCGAUGACGUGCCUAUUAACAUCCGUGGUUGCGUGUAUACACUGGAUACAUACCUUUCUUAUCCGGUCAACACGGAUCUCUCUAUUUUUAUUUGGCCCUCUAACGUUUGCUGAUUUGAAACGCUACACGUUCAACGGUGCAAUGCUGAUACGAUAUAUAUUGGAAAAUUCCUGAAAAAGAAGGUCUUGGUGCUCCAACCGGAUUGGAAGAACGAACAACUCGUGGCUUGCGGCAUCGUUUAAUCUGGCGGAUCCGUUUUUAAGAAUCAUCGUUUAACGUUGUAUCUUCGUGCGCGUUUCCCCGGGCGAUUUUCCGAGCUUAAGGACAACGAUGGUUUCGGAAGACGUGAUGGGAAAACGCUUUGUUGUUGGAAUAAUCCUGUAGCGAGAGAGCGGGAUACGGUGUGAGAAUAGAUAGCAAAAGGACAAGCCGAAAAGGACAAAGCAGACUUUGGGGAAAAUGCAGGCAAAUACGGAGGCGGCGUUCUUUUCUAAUCUAUUGACAUAAAAGACUAAUGACAGAACCUUCCUAGAAGUACAAGCUACCACUUUGGAAAUUCUAAGGAGGAAUUCACGUUAUUGGACUACCGUGAGACACACGAUUAUAGAUUAUUGGCAGAAAACGUAGUGUUGUUUUAGGUUCGAAUUUUGCUAGACUAAGACUUUCUAUUCGAGAUAAGAAAUCCUUGUUACGGUCGUCGAAGCUACUCCCUGAUUUCUUUUGUGAAGGCAGAAAGGAUCGUCAAAGAAACGACCAAUCUCCGAGGAAUGGAACUUUUUUCAGGAUGAGAGUUGGGUGAUCGAUGGAAUCCUGUAGCGACAUGAAUUGAUCUUUGAAGCGCUGUAGGCAGAGAUCCUCUCUCCGCCUUUAGAACAACAGUUCGAAGAAUUCUUCGAACAAUAAGUUCGUUUGUCGCUUUGAAAGCAUACGGACUUGAAAACACCGGUCGAAAGCAUCAUAAUCAAGAAUCUGAUCCUAAUUUCAUAAGAUACUGCGCAACAUUCGAAAACAACAGAACUCUCUCAUAAUAUCUGAACGCGCGUUCUCCCAUCAACAGGUUUCUCCCAUCGCGGCGAGUUCACGAGCAUCAUCGCUGGAACCUCGAAUCCCCUUCGAUCCCGGUGCAACAUCUGCUCGAUCAUGAGUACAUAAAGGCAAGAAACCGUGAGAAAAGACCGAAUCGCGCGCGAACACGGGACUGCUACGCGGCAAUUAAGAGAUCGGCGAUCGAUCGGGGAAUCCACCGUUUCCCGGAAACGGCGUACGGAGGAAAACGCCGGCUGGGAAUGGAGGUUUGAGGCCGAUCCACGAGGAACGCGUUCCUCCGGUCGGCCACGGUCGACGGAGGAAACGAGCCUCUGCCCGGAAUACACGUUUCACCACUUAAUUAUCGUUCAUCGCUUAAUUAUUUUCCUCUCAUUGUCGGCCUGGCACCGCGCCGGGCAUGAUAAUCAGCCGCGAUUCCGACGCGGAAAUUGCGGAAAGAAGCAGGAAGCUACGUCUUCUUUCCUCUGUUUUUUUCCUUUCCUUCUUUUUCUUUCUUUUUCUCCUCUUCCCUCUCUCUCCCUCUCUGUCUAUCUCUGUCUCCUUCUCUUUCUCUCUGCCUUUCGCUUCUGCAACGGCGUACGUGUAAUACCGUUAGCCGUUGACAAGCCGAUGCAUCCUGGCCGCGAAUCACCUGAAGAAAGGAAGAAAACAGAAGAGAAGAAGCGACCGGACGAGCGCACAGAAGAAACAAAGAAGGGAAUACGGAGGUAACUGGUAAUAUCGCCGCGAAUAAUAGCAUUCUCGUUACGUCACAUCCUGUAAACAACGUUUACGAUUUGACGAUUCGGUGGAAACGCCGGGAAUAAUCGUAAUUUGCGGUGGCCACUGGUAACGCUUCAGCGAUUCACAUUUUCCUACAUCCUGUUGCUCCGACAUCCCAUUUCGAAGUAAGAAACGCAGGGAACCAGGAACGAGGUGCUAUGGAAAAUCUGGUUGCACGUGUUGCACCAAACACUCGAAACGUCUUGGUGAACUUCCGUCUACUCGUUUGGAAAAAUUUAUGUGGCCGGCUGAACAUCAAAUUUUUAAAGUUAUCAUAGUUAUUUUAUACUUUAAUCGUUGCACCAUGAUAUUUUAUGCAUCUUGGUUAAUAACGUGUACAACGAACUUGGAAAGUUCUUCUUUUCUACAGCGUCGAUUAAUUUUCAACGUGUAACGUUGCUUUUGUUUCCCUAAAAAAAUCAUGUUUGUAUUCAAUUCCUCUUGAAGAACAACCAACUAAAAUUUCGUGGCAGCUUUUUCGUUAAAAGUUUCUUACAACGGCUAUCCGUCUCGACCGGCCAAAAGUUGUUCGAUCUUUCCACAAUUUCCAUCCCAGAGAAAAAGGGAAAAGAAUUCGCACCGUGCAUGAUUUAUGCUCCUCGAGUUCAAUCUCGAGAUCUGACAGCAAGGCAAACAAAAUUUUUGCAGGGAGGAGAAUUCGACGUGACGGUCGUGCGUUCUGGGGCGGGCAAGUUAAGUAAAAUAGUUGUUUGCAUCGUCGAACUAAGGCUAAGCUACGAUGUGACAGAUUAUGCACGUAGGGUCUCGGAGCUGAUCAGAAACCGCAACAUUUUUUGUUUUUUAUUAUUUAAUUUGUACUUUACAAUUUGUCCAGUUGGACAUU